GGCUCCAACGGUAAAAAAACAUUAAAAUCUCCAUUUUUCUUUGUUUUUUUCUCCAUUUUCAGAACACUCUCUCUUCUCCACCAUUUCUAUUUAUUCACCCAUUUUUCUUUGCUUCUUGUUUGCUUUUCUCUCCCUUUUCAAAUUUCUUAGAACCCACUUUCUUUCUUUUGCAAUUGGUAAAUUCAUGAAUUAUAAUAGGAGACUUGUUUGUUCAUGUGGAAGUUCUCCAAUUGUGAGAAUUUCAUGGACAAAUGACAAUUCCGGACAUAGAUUCCUCGGUGUAGGCACUAUGGGAAUUUUCCAACCAGGCGAAUGUUGUGAUUUUGGGUCUGUUGAAGAAGACCAACAAACAACAAAAAUAAUUGCAAUUGAAGUGUAGAAGGAUGUUAAAACUGAUUUUGUGUAUUAUUUGAUAUGUAAUGUGAUAGUGUUCUUUCAUAUAGUGUGUAGUUGAUUAGUGAAAAUGU